AGUCUAGCAUGUGCGCGAGUCAUUGGGAUACAAUAAACCUAAAGGCGCAAUGAAAGUGAAUGUCUGUUUACGCGGACUUAGGGAAGAUAGGUGCGUACACACUAUGUGUGUACAACCUCGCACUCCCGGGGCGUCUCGCACUCAUUGCGAGGUGGGGCGCACCUAGAGCGUACACGCUGGGACCCGAAAGAUGGUGAACUAUGCCUGGUCAGGACGAAGUCAGGGGAAACCCUGAUGGAGGUCCGUAGCGAUUCUGACGUGCAAAUCGAUCGUCGGAACUGGGCUUAGGGGCGAAAGACUAAUCGAACCAUCUAGUAGCUGGUUCCCACCGAAGUUUCCCUCAGGAUAGCUGGCACUAGAUUAUGGAUGAGUCUCAUCCGGUAAAGCGAAUGAUUAGAGGCAUUGGGGUCGAAACGGCCUCAACCUAUUCUCAAACUUUAAAUGGGUGAGAUCUCCGGCUUGCUCGAUUUGUGAAGCCGGAGAUCGGAUCAAUUAGUGCCAAGUGGGCCACUUUUGGUAAGCAGAACUGGCGCUGUGGGAUGAACCAAACGCAGAGUUAAAGCGCCAAAAUCGACGCUUAUGGGAUACCAUGAAAGGCGUUGGUAACUUAAGACAGCANGACGGUGGCCAUGGAAGUC
rnacentral:rRNA from 1 species